GCGGAUCUAUGGUUUGCUGGGAUUGCCUCCCAGCCGGAAAAUAAAAAGCUCUGUGGCUGGUAGGAAGAGUGUUUACAGCGGGUGAGAACAACUGUCCAGAGGUGGCUUCCCUGGAAGAAGGGAAGUGAAGACCCAGUGGGAUGAGAGCUCCACACAAGACCCAAGAACAGGAAGGAGGGACUGGCUGGCUGCAGGUGGCAGCUACAUUAAAGAUCCUGGAGGGAGCAGAGGGCAUCGGCUGCCAGUAGAGAAGCCCUGGUUUCUGGGGAAAAACUGGGCAGAAGACCCUGAGAGAGAUUCAUCCCCCAACGGAGAAGCCGUAGACGUUUCAGCUGAGCAGGAGAAAAUUCAAGCCACACUGAGCAUUCUAUCUUACAGGUACCAGGUCAGGAUGGCUGCAUAUCUUCUUUGGCCCAGAGUGGAGACUAAUCGUUAUUAUUUUAUCUAUUGUGAAAAUGAGAUGGCUGAAUAUACUUCUACUAGUGAUUCUUGCUUUGCAUUUAUACUGAAAGCUAAUUAUCUUCCAAAUGUAGUUUUUGUUUUGUGUGAAACCAUCUGUUAGUAAAUCCAGAUGUGCUGGCAAUUAGCGAACCGAACCUCAAGCAGCUCUAUAUAAAUUUAGCUUGCUUUCUCUCUCUCUAAUAAUGUGGUUACAGCAGCUGGAACUGUCUGUUCAAUUAAAAACAUUGUUUGGCUUAAGAACACAUGAAUGUACUUGCCAAGCUGAGGUUUUUUAAUGCAGUCUGCCUCUGGCAAUGCUAAUUCUGUGAUGAUUGUGCUCUCUCUGGUUAUUGAUAAAUUAUUACAGUAGUAUUUCUAAUCAAUGCCAGUUAUUACAAAACUUAUAUCAUGUGACACAGCCAUUUUCUCCCUUUUGCUAGUUAAUUUUAUCUUUCCUUGGAGCUCUUAAAAUUGUUUGGGGCCUGUUCAGCUAUGAUGAAACAUAGGUGCAACAUCACAAUUUAUUUAGAAAUUUAGAACAGUAACUUAGCCUGGUCCCCAUUUAAAAAAAAAAAAUGGGGAAGUUUGUUGAAACACAUAGUAAUGGAUCUAUAAUCCAUCUCAACCCCAAUUGGAGGGGCUUUUGUAGAAAGCAAUGAGGGAAAUUCAUUUGGACCAAAGAGUUUUCCAGUGGUAGUGAAUUUAAGCAGUUACCAUAUUUCUUACAACACCAUAAAGAAGGCCGAGCGCCGAAGAAUUGAUACCUUCGAACUGUGGUGCUGGAGAAGACUCUUGA